rnacentral:rRNA from 1 species
AUGCAAGUCGAACGCAGUAGCAAUACUGAGUGGCAAACGGGUGAGUAUAAUGUGGGAAUCUGCCUUUUGGUUUGGAAUAACACGGGGAAACUUGUGCUAAUACCGAAUAAGCCUUUACAGGGAAAGUUUUAACGCCGAAAGAUGAGCCCGCACUUGAUUAGCUAGUUGGUAAGGUAAAAGCUUACCAAGGCAAUGAUCAAUAGCUGUUCUUAGAGGAAGACCAGCCACAUUGGGACUGAGACACGGCCCAGACUCCUACGGGAGGCAGCAGUGGGGAAUCUUGCACAAUGGGGGAAACCCUGAUGCAGCGAUGCCGCGUGAGUGAAGAAGGCCUUUGGGUUGUAAAACUCUUUCGUCGGGGAAGAAAAUGACUGUACCCGAAUAAGAAGGUCCGGCUAACUUCGUGCCAGCAGCCGCGGUAAUACGAAGGGACCUAGCGUAGUUCGGAAUUACUGGGCUUAAAGAGCUCGUAGGUGGUUAAAAAAGUUGAUGGUGAAAUCCCAAGGCUUAACCUUGGAACUGCCAUCAAAACUUUUUAGCUAGAGUGUGAUAGAGGUAAGUGGAAUUUCUAGUGUAGAGGUGAAAUUCGUAGAUAUUAGAAAGAACACCAAAUGCGAAGGCAACUUACUGGGUCACUACUGACACUGAGGAGCGAAAGCAUGGGUAGCGAAGAGGAUUAGAUACCCUCGUAGUCCAUGCCGUAAACGAUGUGUGCUAGACGUUGGAAAUAUAUUUUUCAGUGUC